GGCAAGCUGUAGCCUUGUUCACGGGGCCAGGCCCCCCCCAAG
rnacentral:tRNA from 1 species